rnacentral:rRNA from 1 species
AUUGAACGCUGGCGGCAUGCUUUACACAUGCAAGUCGAACGGUAACAGGCCGCAAGGUGCUGACGAGUGGCGAACGGGUGAGUAAUGCAUCGGAACGUGCCCAGUCGUGGGGGAUAACUACUCGAAAGAGUAGCUAAAACCGCAUACGAUCUAUGGAUGAAAGCGGGGGACCGUAAGGCCUCGCGCGAUUGGAGCGGCCGAUGUCAGAUUAGGUAGUUGGUGGGGUAAAGGCUCACCAAGCCAACGAUCUGUAGCUGGUCUGAGAGGACGACCAGCCACACUGGGACUGAGACACGGCCCAGACUCCUACGGGAGGCAGCAGUGGGGAAUUUUGGACAAUGGGCGCAAGCCUGAUCCAGCAAUGCCGCGUGCAGGAAGAAGGCCUUCGGGUUGUAAACUGCUUUUGUACGGAACGAAACGGCUCUGGUUAAUACCCGGGGCUAAUGACGGUACCGUAAGAAUAAGCACCGGCUAACUACGUG